rnacentral:rRNA from 1 species
CGGGGGGGGGCAAGCGUUGUUCGGAAUUACUGGGCGUAAAGGGCUCGUAGGUGGCCAACUAAGUCAGACGUGAAAUCCCUCGGCUUAACCGGGGAACUGCGUCUGAUACUGGAUGGCUUGAGUUUGGGAGAGGGACGCGGAAUUCCAGGUGUAGCGGUGAAAUGCGUAGAUAUCUGGAGGAACACCGGUGGCGAAGGCGGCGUCCUGGACCAACACUGACACUGAGGAGCGAAAGCCAGGGGAGCAAACGGGAUUAGAUACCCCGGUAGUCCUGGCCCUAAACGAUGAAUGCUUGGUGUGGCGGGUAUCGAUCCCUGCCGUGCCGAAGCUAACGCAUUAAGCAUUCCGCCUGGGGAGUACGGUCGCAAGGCUG